UUCUUUGUUUAAAAGCUGAUGAAAGAACAUUUUAAAAAUUAAUUAAAGCUAAGCAGGGUCAGGCCUGGUUAGUAAUUGGAUGGGAGACCACCUGGGAAGACCAGGUGCCAUAGGCA
rnacentral:rRNA from 1 species